UUUUGGUGGGGUCAGAGAAUUGUGAAAGACAUUGGGUCUGUUGGAGGUGAAAAGGAAAGCUCAGGACUCCUGAAAAAUUUGUAAACGCCUAUCAGUUAAAUAAAAGUCCUGUCUUUGUACUAUUGUAAUUGUUGUCCAGCUGCUAAUUAACACAUAUUCAAAGUUGUGACGUUCCCUAUCUGAAAUUGAAUUAGAUUUACCUAAUACCCUCGGGUAAUAUGAUUAACUAUUUAUUAUCAGGACCAGAGACUUUGUUAUUGAAUUCAAAAUCUUGAACAAAUAAAUGUUCUGAUCCAGUAACAGGGAUACACAUCACCCCUCUGGAAAAGAAAGAAGAACGAGAAAGCCCUAUUUCGACUGUAAAAUUAAUUAUAUACUCAGAAACACCCACUUUUCUCUUUUCCCAAAUUCUUUUCCAUUAUGAAAUAAAAGCCUCUGAACAAAAUCCUGCUCCUUUGCCUCAGAAAACUUCGUUGUCUGAUUUAUUUAUUUAUUUUUGCUCCAAAGAGGUUGGAUUGUGUGCCUUCAGGAAAUAAAACAACCACCACAAAGCACUUUGCCGUUGCUCAAAACUUCCGCUUGUAGUUUGAGACUUUAAAAGGGAGGGAAAGAAAAGACAAAGGAGGAAGCUCCAGGCUGCUGGUUUGGCAGGUGCAAAGGUUUUUUUCAAGCAAACAUCUGGUUUGGUGGUAGUUCUGAAGCCAGGCAUGAAAUCAGAAAGACAGUCUUUCCCCCCUCUGCAAUUUUUUUUUUUAGUGUUGUUUUACGACUUCGGGCCCUUUGUGGUAGGGAAGCACCCAGGCUCCUGUUCAUUGAAGCUCGCCUGCUCAGACUUUGCACUGUUAUAUUUGUACAGUGAGGUUACCAAGGGUGAAGAUUCUUUCCUGUUGGGCUGGUAACUGUUUCACGCAGCUUUUCCACACUACACAAUACACUUUGGCUACUGUUUGUAUAGUCAGGAAACUGUUAAAAAAACCAAAAACAACCGAAGAAGAAAUAUGUAGGAGAACCUGGGGAAGACAUGGAUUCCUCUACAGCAAUGGUAGAGGAAGUUAUAACUUGAAGUGACAACUAGCCAGGAUGUUCUGACUGAAAGUGUCUGGAGAAGGUUAUGUGGCAGCUGUUACAAAAAAUAUCAACUUAAUCAGGAAAGACAAGAGUGGGCAAGGAAGAAACUCAUGACUACUCCAGCUUGAAUCUCUGUGAGCCUGGCAAAAUGUUGAUGAAUAACGGCCUUUGCAGAGAGUUGGUCCUGAUAGUAUUUGUCUCAUUGUGUCAUCCGAUAAAGACUACAACAGAACAUGCGAAGAUAAAAACAUAAUAUGGACAAUAAAACUAAUUAAUAGUUAAAGAUUUAGCCAAAGAUGUAUGUCUUUGGCAUGUUUUACUAAACUGUCUUUACAGAUAUCUGAAUGAAAAUGGAAGUCAAUUGCUACUUUAGAUUCCUUCCCUUGUGCCAGAAGAACAAGCCACUGAGCAUCUAUAGAAUGGCUCCUCCUGCACUUCAGGACAGCCAGAUGGAUGGAUUGGUAACAGGAGAGACUCACUUUUAGAUAGUCAGGAUCUAAAUUGCUAAGGGCUGAAAAAUUUAGCCCAUUAAGUUGUGCCUGGUAAGAACUGGCAACCAAUACAGAUCUUUAAGUAGAGACAUCAUGUGGCUACUGUUACUUACAUGGGUUACCACCCUAGUCUUGCAUUUUAUACGAGGUGCUGGUUUCAAAUACUUUUCAUGCAGA